AAACGACUCUCGGCAACGGAUAUCUCGGCUCACGCAUCGAUGAAGAACGUAGCAAAAUGCGAUACUUGGUGUGAAUUGCAGAAUCCCGUGAACCAUCGAGUUUUUGAACGCAAGUUGCGCCCGAAGCCAUUNGGCCGAGGGCACGUCUGCCUGGGCGUCACGCA
rnacentral:rRNA from 1 species